UUAGUUUUGGCUUUUCAGCCCUCUGAGACGGGCGCAACGAAAAAUCAAUAAAGUACGAGUGAAGAUCGAGUCGGCGUGAUUUGCGAGAGGACGUAACCGGCCCGCUAGAGCGCAAGCGUCGUCGAACCCCGUGGCCGUGGCGUUACUCCGGCAUUCGGCCAUUUUCCAUUCCGUUCGGCGUCCCCGCUUACGACUACCUACCCAGACAACAAGAUUUGAAAAGCUCCGUAGGAUCAAAAGCUCAUAGCACAGACUCCCAGUUCGCCCUUCGACUGCGAUAUGUCCUCAGAUCAGGUCAAAAUGGAACAGAAGCCGGAAACAAACGGCCAGAUGAAAAUGGACCAGAAUCAAGCGCAACAGCAGCAAUCCCAGCAGAAUCGGCAGAACGACCAGCAUUCCGCCCGCCGAGGCGGCUUCGGUGGAAGGGGUGGAAAAUUCAACGGUCCAAGAAAAGACCAUCAAAAGAUGGAAACCCAUCAGCAUGCUGAUGGCGACAACAAGCCUAACUCUGGAGGCUUUACGGGUGGCCGUGGAGGUCAUGGAGGAAGAGGAAGGCGAGGUGGUGGACAAAUGCGUGACAGAGAUCAAGCUCCGAGAGAUAGUUCAUUCGUUAAUGAGAGACUUUUGAAGCAAAUUUCUGGCCCAACUCUUGAUCUCCCACCUCAAGAGUUUAAGGAGAAGAUGUUUAACGGUAGAUGCCGUCUGUACAUUGGUAAUUUACCUCCAGAUGCAACAGAAGACGAAUUCCUGAAACUGUUUCAACCGUACGGACUGACCAGUGAAUUGUACAUCAAUAAAGAAAAGAAUUUUGCUUUUAUCCGACUGGAUUAUAGAUCUACUGCAGAAAAGGCCAAACGAGAAUUGGAUGGUCAUUCAUUUAAAAACAGAAAUCUUAAAGUAAGAUUUGCUCCUAUUGGUGCAGCGGUCAAAGUUAAAAAUUUGACACAGCAUGUAACCAAUGAAUUACUGGAGCUGGCUUUUUCAGUCUUUGGAGAGGUUGAAAGAGCAAUUGUGUUUGUCGAUGAAAGAGGAAACAGUUUGAGAGAAGGUCUUGUGGAGUUCACGCGAAAAGUUGGAGCAACAAGCGCUCUACGUUUUUGUUCUGAAGGUUGCUUUUUCCUCACAAGCACCCUCAGACCAGUUAUUCUGGAACCCUAUGAUGUAGUUGAAGAUACCGAUGGAUAUUCUGAAAAAUCUAUUGUCAAAAAAGGAGCAGAUUAUUUUGAAGCCAGAGAGAGUGGGCCUCGUUUUGCGAAACAGGGAAGCUUUGAAUUCGAGUUCGGCACUAGGUGGAAACAAAUCCACGAACUGUACAAACAAAAAGAAGAAGCUCUCAAGAGAGAGAUGAAACUUGAAGAAGACAAGUUGGAAGCCCAAAUGCAAUAUGCAAGAUAUGAGCAUGAAACUGAGCUACUACGAGAGCAACUUCGCCAGAGGGAAUUAGACAGAGAACGUCAAAAACGUGAAUGGGAGAUGAAGGAAAGACAGGCUGAAGAGCAGAGAAUUGUCGAAGAAGAAGCUUUGAGACGGCAACAAGAAGAACUGUCACGAAGAAUGUCACAUCAAGAUGAUGAAUUGAGAAGGCGACAACAGGAAAACAGCCUUUUUAUGCAGGGACAACAGUUAAAUAAUCUAAUGGAUCAACAGGAAGCAUCUAUGCAACGUGGUUAUAACAACAGCGCCGGUGACAAUCUCAGAGACUAUGAAGGCAUGGAAGGUACAUAUAAUUAUCAAGGUCAAAGACAAGGGUGUGGGUUAGCGCAAAUUCGUCGCCAAGCAUGAAUAUUUUCUCCAUUCAACUGGUUUUCCAUCAAAACGUUAAUCAAGAAUUGAAAAUGAUACACAACAUGGAAGGAGCUUAAUGACGAAACUUGAGGAUUCUUUGCUGAACUUCAUAUCACGUGCAAACCAGGACGUCGAUGAUGAAAGUUGGGGAUUCUUUGCUGAACUUCAUCAUGUGACAACCAGAUCAUCAAUGAAGGAUGUUGGGGAUUCUUUGCUGAACUUCAUCAUAUGACAACCAGAUCAUCAAUGAAGGAUAUUGGGGAUUCUUUGCUGAACUUCAUCUCAUGUGCCAAUCAGGUUGUUGAUGAUAAAAGUUCAGAAUUCUUUGUGGAACUUGAGGUCAUGUUCCAUCCUGGCCGAUGAAUAAAGUUGAGAAUUCUUUGUGAUCAUCAAGUGUCCAACCAACCAGGUUGUCGAUAAUGAAAAUUAAGGUUUCUAUGCCACAUAUGUCAUUCGCCAGCCAGGUCAUUGAUGAUUAAAAGUUUAGUGUCUGGAUUUUCGUAAAGGAUAUAAAAUUGAAGACGAAGUAGACCACUUUUUCAAGUCAAAGGUUUGGUCCUUACAAAUUUAUGCACUAUCAGCAAUGGGAGGAAAAGUUAAAUGUCGAUUCACAUUUAAACACUACUGAUAGAUUUGUCCAUGGAAUCUAUGGAGUGAUGAGCCUGCAGUUUGGUCUUUUCGAUCAUUUUUGUCCGCCUGUCUAGCUGGUUUGGCCUGCCAGAUGCAUUUCAACAUUUCACAGAAUAUUUUUGAGGCAGCUUGUCUGUUUUUUAUUUUUUAAUUAUUCUAAAAGAGGCUCGUAGAUGUGUUUUUAUAAA